rnacentral:rRNA from 1 species
CCGCACGGGUGAGUAACACGUACCCAACCUGCCGUCUACUCUUGGACAGCCUUCUGAAAGGAAGAUUAAUACAAGAUGGCAUCAUGAGUCCGCAUGUUCACAUGAUUAAAGGUAUUCCGGUAGACGAUGGGGAUGCGUUCCAUUAGAUAGUAGGCGGGGUAACGGCCCACCUAGUCUUCGAUGGAUAGGGGUUCUGAGAGGAAGGUCCCCCACAUUGGAACUGAGACACGGUCCAA